rfam:Gossypium hirsutum cultivar TM-1 chromosome 4, whole genome shotgun sequence
GGAGAGAUGGCUGAGUGGUUGAUAGCUUCGGUCUUGAAAACCGAUAUAGUUCGAAACAAAGAACUAUCGAAGGUUCGAAUCCCUCUCUCUCCU